UAAGAGACUACCUCAUAGCCCAAUUCACCAAAAAUAAUUUCCUAAGCACAUUCCCUGUGCUGUAUCCUGAUGUACACUCAAUUUGCUGAGAUCAUUUUUUCUGACUGUCAUUCAGUGAGCCACACUACAACUGUGCUUGUGCCCCACAUGGGACACAGAGAAGCAAGAUUAACCACCAUCUAAUUUCUACUUUUGUCAUAAAUGUUGCCCAUAACACAUGGCAGACAAAGUGUGCUCUCUGAGGAGUUUGACACAGCCACUGUCUGGCAGUCUGGGUGGUAGAGAAUAUAUUAUUUAUCAUACUCAAUGGGAUGAGGCGGGCACUGAAGCUACUUAUUGGAGCAGCUGUGAACCCCCAAUCUCCUUAAUUUUCAAAACAGAAUGCCGUGGUGUCAUGUUUGCUGAGGAGGUGAUACCCAGGUCCUUUCUGAACGGUUCCUGACUGGAGCAGCAAGAAAUGAGGCAGCUGGAUUUCACAGAGUUUUGGUAACCUUGGAGAAACAAGUUACAGCAACCAUCAGCCCAGGCGACAAAUUUGCAAGCAGGCCAGGGUGUAAGCGGGAGGAUCUGAUCUGAGGUGAGUCCCUGCUCCUCCUGAGUAAUGCACCUUCACAGACUUCACUCUUCAGGAUGAUUUGGUGUAGCAAAAAGGUGUGAAACAGGGAAAUCCAGACCCAGGUAAUUCAGCUCACGUUUAAAAGGAGGUUUUGCUUGUUGAUUAGGUAAUCCUUCUCUAGGAAAUGCACGGCACCAACUGCUUUUCAUGCUAGAUUAGUGCUCCUGUGGUCAAUUUGCUUUUACUAAUGUCAGGGCCCCACGGAGCAGGUUCAUCUGUCGCAUAGCAACUGCUUCAGCAGCAGUGGAGGUAGCCAUGCAUAAAAGAUUACACAUGAUGGCAGGGCACAAGUGUGAAGAUUUUCAAAAUUAGAUACAAUCUCAGCAUGAAUAUGAACUGCAGAAUUGACAUGGAAGGAUUUUUUUCAAGUCAUCAAGUUUCCAUAUUUAUCAGAAAAAGUGGUUUAACUGCAGUGCAUGUAAAACCAAGGAAAUGCAGAGGGCAGUAAUUUAGAAAAAGCAGCAAACAAGCCAGUGUCUGUAUACAAAUAAAUGUAAACAGA
rnacentral:lncRNA from 1 species